ensembl:lncRNA
GAUGAUGAUGAUGAUGAUGGUGUAAUGGUUGUGUGGAUACAGUGAGUAAAACUAGUAAACGGGCUUAAUGAGAUGCGUUGAUCGUUAGACAGUCACACACACACACACACACAGAGGGAGAAAUAUGCUGCUCGUUACUGUAGAAACUGAUUGUCGUGGAGGAAGACAGGGACUUGUAAAGACCACCCUUUCUCAGGCCAGACAAUACAUCCUGUAUAAUCUGACAGAAUGGGAUAAUGCACCAGAUGUCAGCUGGGUGAUUAUUACAUAGCUCCACAUCUACGGUAUGUACAUGAUAGACAUACAGGGAUAAAAAGGAUCAUUUGUUAGGUGGAAGAUUACUUCACUACAUGGACCAUUAUGGACACACUGUAAAACAACAUACAGUAUGUUGGGACAGGUACUGCUAUCACAGGGGAUGAUGCUGUAGUGUGUUGGGACAGGUACUGCUAUCACAGGGGAUGAUGCUGUAGUGUGUUGGGACAGGUACUGCUAUACCAGGGAAUGAUGCUGUAGUGUGUUGGGACAGGUACUGCUAUAACAGGGGAUGAUGAUGUAGUGUGUUGGGACAGGUACUGCUACAACAGGGGAUGAUGCUGUAGUGUGUUGGGACAGGUACUGCUAUACCAGGGAAUGAUGCUGUAGUGUGUUGGGACAGGUACUGCUAUACCAGGGAAUGACGCCCUUGUCCGCAGGCCUGGGCAACUCCAGUCCCCGGGGACCUGAUUGGUCCCAACAAACACAACUGAUUUAAACGAAUUACAUUCUAAACUGAAGAUCAGAUUCAGUUGAUUAUUGGAGUCAGGUGUGUUAGCUGGGGACAAAAUGUGACACCAAUCAGGACCGUAGUUUCCCAUGGCCUGCGUGUGUUAACCUCCAUGCCAGUAGAGGGCAGAGCUGAGUAGGUGUUACCUGAAUAAACACUGGGGACAAUGAAGCCAAGCUGUAAGUCAGAGUGACCUCGUCAUGUUCUACUGGUCAACAUCCAGAACAGUAGCAACAUACAGUAAACCAAGGCCUGCCACCAAAAUGAUGAAAUGUACUGAAAUGUACCUGAGGGUAACUUUAAACAUUUCACUGAAUGAUGAUACAGUGGGGCAAAAA